UACGUAGGUGGCAAGCGUUGUCCGGAAUUAUUGGGCGUAAAGCGCGCGCAGGCGGUCCUUUAAGUCUGAUGUGAAAGCCCACGGCUCAACCGUGGAGGGUCAUUGGAAACUGGAGGACUUGAGUACAGAAGAGGAAAGUGGAAUUCCACGUGUAGCGGUGAAAUGCGUAGAGAUGUGGAGGAACACCAGUGGCGAAGGCGACUCUUUGGCCUAUAACUGACGCUGAGGCGCGAAAGCGUAGGUAGCGAACAGG
rnacentral:misc_RNA from 1 species